CCCCUACGGGGGGCAGCAGUAGGGAAUCUUCCACAAUGGACGAAAGUCUGAUGGAGCAACGCCGCGUGAGUGAAGAAGGGUUUCGGCUCGUAAAGCCCUGUUGGUAGAGAAGAAAGAUAGAGGGAGUAACUGGCCUUUUUUUGACGGUAAUUACUUAGAAAGUCACGGCUAACUACGUGCCAGCAGCCGCGGUAAUACGUAGGUGGCAAGCGUUGUCCGGAUUUAUUGGGCGUAAAGCGAGUGCAGGCGGUUUUAUAAGUCUGAUGUGAAAGCCUUCGGCUUAACCGGAGAAUUGCAUUAGAAAA
rnacentral:rRNA from 1 species